GAUGAACGCUGGCGGCGUGCCUAAUACAUGCAAGUCGAGCGAACAGACGAUAAGCUUUCGCCUCUGACGGUAGCGGCUGACGGGUGAGUAACACGUGGAUAACCUACUUAUAUUACUGGGAGGAUUUCGUGAAACCGGUUCUGAUACUAGAUAAUAUAUCGUACCGCAUGGAUCAAUAGUUAAUGACGCCUUUCCUGUCACUUAGAGAUGGUCCCGCGCCGCAUUAGCUAGUUGGUAAGGUAACGGCUUACCAAGGCAACGAUGCGUAGCCGACCUGAGAGGGUGAUCGGCCACACUGGAACUGAGACGCGGUCCAGACUCCUACGGAGGCAACAGGAGGGAAACAUCCGCAAUGGGCGGAAGCCUGACGGCGCAAAGACGGGUGAGGGAUGAAGGUCUUCCGGUCGGAAAACUCUGUUAUUGGGGAAGAAAAGCUGUGUAAGUAAAUAUGGACGUCUUGACGGUACCCAAUCAGAAAGCCACGGCUAACUUCGUG
rnacentral:rRNA from 1 species